rnacentral:rRNA from 1 species
UACGGAGGGUGCAAGCGUUGUCCGGAAUCACUGGGCGUAAAAGGCCCGUAGGCGGCUCAUGAAGGCUGUGGUGAAAGUCCGGGGCUCAACCUCGGAUCGGCCGUGGCGACUCGUGGGCUGGAGCACUGUAGAGGCGGGUGGAAUUCCGGGUGUAGCGGUGGAAUGCGUAGAGAUCCGGAAGAACACCAGUGGCGAAGGCGGCCCGCUGGGCAGUGGCUGACGCUGAGGCGCGACAGCGUGGGGAGCAAACAGG